rnacentral:lncRNA from 1 species
CUCCAGCCUGGGUAACAAGAGCGAAACUCCGUCUCAAAAAAAAAAAAGAAAGAGACAGAAGAGCAUAAAAAGAUGAGACUGACCUAGCCUCCCACCCUACAUCUUUCUUCAGUGCCAGAUGCUUCCUGCCCUAGAACACUGGACUUUAAGUUCUUCGGGUUUGGAAAUCGGACUGGCUUCCUUGCUCCUUACCUUGCAGACGGCCUAUGCCAUAUGGCUUGCAGACGGCCUAUGGUGGGACCCUGUGGUCUUAUGAGUCAAUACUCCUUAAUAGAAUUCUCUUUAUAUAUAAAUCUAUCCUAUUAGUUCUGUCCCUCUAGAGAACCCUGGCUAAUACACUAACCAGCCCCACAGAAACAGCGUCAUUGUCACCAUUUGAAUGAGUUUCUCUUCCUGCAGGCCUCGCUGCUCCUCUCCCAGCCCUGCCUGCUCUUUUUUCCACUGAAUGGAAACUCUUGUGAAGUUCAUCACAAAGAUAAUGAGCUAAUCUCAGUUAAUGUACUCUUCAGGCAGGUCUAUGUGAUCACCGUGAUCACCGAGGCUUUCUAUAGAAGAGAUGACCCACUUUUAUUGACCUCGCCAGUGAGUGAGUUAACCACUGAGAAUUUGUGGCCAGAUAGAAAGAGAGAGAGAGAGAGAGAGAGAGAGAGAGAGAGAGAAAGAGAAAGAGAGAGAGAGAGAAAUUCAAAUCUCUGGUACCAAUAGACAGAGUUAUUAAAAUUAUUAAAUACAUUUAUCUGUUCAACCUACCAUCUUAAUCAUCUUAAAAACAAUUAUGUUACAAAUUCAAAUGACAUCUCUUUCACAAAUCUUUAUACUCUCAAAAGAGACUUACAGACUCAAAAAAAAAGUAGUUGUUAACAAUUUAGUGAGGAGUUGCUGUGUGCCAACACUGUUUCAAGUGCUUUAGGCACAAUAACACAUUUAAUUUUCACAAUGCUAUGAGGUAGAUGCCACAUUUAUCCCUUUCACAGAUGAAGAAAAGGAGGCCAGAUUUUGAUCAAGUUUUCAAGGUCACACUGCUAGGAAGCUAUGGAACAGGUAUCUGAACUCAAGCAGCCUGUCCUGGAAACUUAAUAAUCAGCCAUAUGCAUUUUUUAAACAUUUGCUUUUCAUCA